rnacentral:rRNA from 1 species
GUCCUUGCCGUAAACGAUGUGGAUUAGGUGUUAGGGGUGUCGAUCCCCCUGGCGCCGACGCUAACGCAUUAAAUCCACCACCUGGGGAGUACGGUCGCAAGACUGAAACUCAAAGAAAUUGACGGGGACCCGCACAAGCGGUGGAGCAUGUGGUUUAAUUCGAGGCUACGCGAAGAACCUUACCCAGGCUUGACAUGUAGUUGAAUAUCUGUGAAAGCAGCUAGGCUCGCAAGAGACAAUUACACAGGUGCUGCAUGGCUGUCGU